rnacentral:rRNA from 1 species
UACGGAGGGUGCGAGCGUUAUUCGGAAUUACUGGGCGUAAAGCGCGUGUAGGCGGGAAGGCAAGUCUGAUGUGAAAGCCCCGGGCUUAACCUGGGAAGUGCAUUGGAAACUGCCAUUCUUGAGUGCUGGAGAGGAAGGGGGAAUUCCCGGUGUAGAGGUGAAAUUCGUAGAGAUCGGGAGGAAUACCAGUGGCGAAGGCGCCCUUCUGGUCGGCAACUGGCGCUGAGACGCGAAAGCGUGGGGAGCAAACAGG